rnacentral:rRNA from 1 species
ACUGUGUGAAUUAAUGUGAACUGCAUACUGCUUUGAACAUCGACAUCUUGAACGCACAUUGCGGCCAUGGGUUAGCCCGUGGCCACGCCUGUCCGAGGGUCGGCU